rnacentral:rRNA from 1 species
GUGAAACCGCAAAAGGCUCAUUAAACCAGUCAUGAUUCACUCGAGUAUACAUGACUGUCUUUGGAUAACUGUGGUAAUCCUAGAGCUAAUACAUGCAAUCAAGUCCCGACCAGUCUGACUGGGAAGGACGCUUUUAUUAGAUCAAGACCAAUCGCCCGGCUCGUUCGGGCGUUGCCUUGGUGACUCUAGGUAACACAUCAGAUCGCACGGUCUUCGCACCGGCGACUUAUCCUUCAAAUGCCUGACUUAUCAACUGUCGAUGGUAGACUCUAUGUCUACCAUGGUUGUAACGGGUAACGGGGAAUCAGGGUUCGAUUCCGGAGAGGGAGCCUGAGAAACGGCUACCACAUCCAAGGAAGGCAGCAGGCACGCAAAUUACCCACUCCCGGCACGGGGAGGUAGUGACAAAAAAUAACGAUACGGGACUCUUAUGAGGCCCCGUAAUCGGAAUGAGUACACUUUAAAUCCUUUAACAAGGAUCCAUUGAAGGGCAAGUCUGGUGCCAGCAGCCGCGGUAAUUCCAGCUUCAAUAGCGUAUAUUAAAGUUGUUGCGGUUAAAAAGCUCGUAGUUGGUUCUGCGUGCCACGCUGUCGGUUCGCCGCCUGCCGGUGUAACUGGCAUGCCGUGGCAUGUCCUGUCGGUGGCGUUCGGGAGCCUUGUCUAGGCGACGGCCCUUGCCAAAAGCUCGGUGUCCGGAGGCCGGGGGUAUACCCGUUCGCCUACUCUAUCCUACCUAGGUGCUCUUUACCGAGUGUCGAGGUAGGCCGACACGUUUACUUUGAACAAAUUAGAGUGCUCAAAGCAGGCUGAAAUCUCUGCCUGAAUAGUGGUGCAUGGAAUAAUAAAACAGGACCUUGGUUCUAUUUUGUUGGUUCUUAGGAACACAAGGUAAUGAUCAAUACGGACAGGCGGGGGCAUUCGUAUUGCGACGUUAGAGGUGAAAUUCUAGGAUCGUCGCAAGACGCACAAAAGCGAAAGCAUUUGCCAACCAUAAACGAUGCCAGCCAGCGAUCCGCCGAUGUUCCUCCGAUGACUCGGCGGGGAGCUUCUUCCCGGGAAACCAAAGCUUUUGGGUUCCGGGGGAAGUAUGGUUGCAAAGCUGAAACUUAAAGGAAUUGACGGAAGGGCACCACCAGGAGUGGAGCCUGCGGCUUAAUUUGACUCAACACGGGAAACCUCACCAGGCCAGGACAUUGGAAGGAUUGACAGAUUGAUAGCUCUUUCUUGAUUCAGUGGGUAGUGGUGCAUGGCCGUUCUUAGUUGGUGGAUCGAUUUGUCUGGUUAAUUCCGAUAACGAACGAGACUCUAGCCUAUUAACUAGGCGUUUUCCGGUGUCCCCGCCACCGGCGACAAUCAUUCUUCUUAAGGGGACAGGCGGCUUACAGCCGCACGAGAUUGAGCAAUAACAGGUCUGUGAUGCCCUUAGAUGUCCUGGGCCGCACGCGCGCUACACUGAAGGAAUCAGCGUGUGCCUCCCUGGCCGAAAGGCCCGGGUAAUCCGCUGAACCUCCUGCGUGCUAGGAAUUGGGGCUUGCAAUUGUUCCCCAUGAACGAGGAAUUCCCAGUAAGCGCGAGUCAUAAGCUCGCGUUGAUUACGUCCCUGCCCUUUGUACACACCGCCCGUCGCUACUACCGAUUGAAUGAUUUAGUGAGGUCUUCGGACUGGCGGUAAUCCCUGCCGACUUGUCGGUAUCGAUGAACGCUGGAAAGAUGACCAAACUUGAUCAUUUAGAGGAAGUAAAAGUCGUAACAAGGUUUCCGUAGGUGAA